AACGAACGCUGGCGGCAUGCCUAACACAUGCAAGUCGAACGAGACCGUCGGGCCUAGUGGCGCACGGGUGCGUAACGCGUGGGAACCUGCCCUUAGGUUCGGAAUAACUCCCCGAAAGGGGUGCUAAUACCGGAUAAUGUCUUCGGACCAAAGAUUUAUCGCCUUUGGAUGGGCCCGCGUUGGAUUAGCUAGUUGGUAGGGUAAAAGCCUACCAAGGCGACGAUCCAUAGCUGGUCUGAGAGGAUGAUCAGCCACACUGGGACUGAGACACGGCCCAGACUCCUACGGGAGGCAGCAGUGGGGAAUAUUGGACAAUGGGCGAGAGCCUGAUCCAGCGAUGCCGCGUGAGUGAUGAAGGCCUUAGGGUUGUAAAGCUCUUUUAACCGGGAUGAUAAUGACAGUACCGGGAGAAUAAGCUCCGGCUAACUCCGUG
rnacentral:rRNA from 1 species